rnacentral:rRNA from 1 species
AGAGUUUGAUCCUGGCUCAGAACUACGCUUGUGGUGUGUCUUAGUCAUGCGAGUCGAACGAGAAAGUUCUCUUCGGAGAAUGAGUACAGUGGCGGACGGGUGAGUAACACGUGGGUAAUCUGCCCUUAGGUUGGGAACAACACUUCUAACGAGGUGCUAAUACCGAAUAAUAAGGCCGAUUGCAAGAUCGGUUUUUAAAGGUGGCCUCUACUUGUAAGCUGCCGCCAAAGGAUGAGCCCGCGUCGUAUUAGCUUGUUGGUGGGGUAAUGGCCUACCAAGGCAACGAUGCGUAGCCGGCCUGAGAGGGUGAACGGCCACACUGGAACUGAGACAAGGUCCAGUCUCCUACGGGAGCCAGCAGUCUAGAAAUUUGCACAAUCGUCGAAAGACGGAUGCAGCGACACCACGUGGAGGAUGAAGCCCCUCGGGGUGUAAACUCCUGUCAGUUGGGAAGAAGGCGCGGCCGUUAAUACCGGUCGCUGCUUGACGGUACCUUCAGAGGAAGCUCCGGCUAACUACGUGCCAGCAGCCGCGGUAAUACGUAGGGAGCGAGCGUUGUUCGGAUUUACUGGGCGUAAAGAGCACGUAGGCGGGCAUGCAAGUCGGUUGUGAAAUCCUCUGGCUCAACCAGAGAACUGCAAUCGAAACUGCAUGCCUUGAGUCCAUCAGAGGAAAUCGGAAUCUUAGGUGUAGCGGUGAAAUGCGUAGAUAUCUAAGAGAACACCAGUGGCGAAGGCGGAUUUCUGGGAUGGCACUGACGCUGAGGUGCGAAAGCUGAGGGAGCGAACAGGAUUAGAUACCCUGGUAGUCUCAGCCGUAAACGAUGGGUACUAGGUGUUGGGGGACAUUGACCCCCUCAGUGCCGCAGCUAACGCAUUAAGUACCCCGCCUGGGGAGUACGGCCGCAAGGCUGAAACUCAAAGGAAAUUGACGG